GCUUAUCACGCAGCGGGGGCUGAGCUCACUGUGCGGCACGGGCGGGGCUAAAUUACCCGGGUAACUGGAGCAUAGGAAGCAGGAAGGAGUCCCUGCUUCCCUAACAACCAGUCUCCAGGAGCUCCAAGGGAUGUGGAGGUAAGAAGCAGGUCAGUGUGUGUGUGUGUGUGUGAGAGUGUCUGCCUGUGUGUGUGAGAGUGUGCGACUGUCUGCCUCUGCGUGUGUGUGAGAGUGUG